UACGUAGGCAGCAAGCGUUGUUCGGAGUUACUGGGCGUAAAGGGUGCGUAGGCGGUCCUGUAAGUAUGGUGUGAAAUCUCCCGGCUUAACUGGGAGGGUGCGCUAUAGACUGCGGGACUAGAGGGUCGGAGAGGAAAGUGGAAUUCCUGGUGUAGCGGUGAAAUGCGUAGAUAUCAAGAGGAACACCUGAGGUGAAGACGGGUUGCUGGGCUGACACUGACGCUGAGGCGCGAAAGCCAGGGGAGCAAACGGG
rnacentral:rRNA from 1 species